CGGCUGGAUGUCUCUAUGGUGAAAGGAAGCCGAAAGUUUAAUUUGAAAUCGGUGCCGAUUGGUGUAGGGGCGGCGUCCUGUCAGCGGCGCUGGAGUUUAACCAAAGCCGUACAGAGCGUUUUAAAUUAUCGACCCGUUUUACUGUAAACAUUUUUCUUUUGAUUGAAAGGUAUCUUUAACGUUUCGUUGUUAAUUCGGCCACAUGAAGACCUCCUGUGAGUCCGACGUCGAGGAGGAUUUGGACACGUAUUUGAAAGGUUUGAGAGAAAGAGCUAACAAAAGUAUCCAGAAGCUGAAAUGUACUCUAGAAGAAAAACACCACUCAGAAUACUCUGAACCAUCUCCAGUGGAUGACACUGUCCAGCCAAAAUCAAUAAGUCCCCCAGGGAGGAGAGAAAGUCAUGGUGAAGUGGCAUGGCAAGAGCUACAACACAGUCAUGCAGUUAAUGAGCUCAGAGCCCUGUUGCGACAUCAGGAAACGGAAGAAAGGACAAGUUCAGCAUCUGUGACCAGGAAAUGUCUCAUGAGAUCAAGAAAUGAUUCAGAUUGCUCACCAUCUAUUGAAGAUCUUGUACCUAUUAUUAAUGACCAAUCAGAAUAUAUCCAACAUUUGGAGGCAGAAGUCAAACUUUUCAAGGAGGAGCUUUCAAGUGUGAAACAACGGGUACAGGUUGUUGUGGUUGAAAAUGAAAAUCUUCACGAAGAACUGAGAUCAAGAGCUGUUCAGGCUACCAUGAAUGAACCAUCUGUCUGUCCUUUUUCACCAAAAUCAACUUGCGUAGUGGACCCAAAGACCAUCAAAACAGUGGAAGCAUUGGAGUCAACCUCACCAGCAAAAUACCUGAAUCAUUCAUGUUUUACUCCGACACAACCAGAGAGCAAAACUGUUACAGAAGAAAUAAAGAAGUUGCAGCUAGAAGUGGAAAAUCUGAAUAUUCUUUACCAAGGGAAGACUGAAACACUGGAGUCUCGGGUUUCUUUACUAAGAAAAGACCUGUCAGAAUCUCAAAAGGAAUGUCAAGAGCUGGAAGAACGAUUAAAGAUUCAACAGUCUUUGCUUGCAAUGGACAGUUCAGAACGUGUUGCUGGCCUGUGUUUGAAAUGUGCCCAGCAUGAGGCAGUUCUGGCCCGGACUCGUACUGAUGUAGAGUUGAAAGCUGUUGAUAGAUUAAGAAAAGAAAGAGAUGACUUGAUGAACAUGCUGGCAAUUUUGAGAAGCAACGUUAAUGAAAUGCAGGCCAGGGAAGAUUCUGCAUGUCGGCAAGUGAAACAGGCUACAGAAGUAGCAGAAGAAGCCAAUUUGGAGAAAAUACAGGUUCUGGUCCAUUGUGAGCAGCUGAAGAAUGAGAUGUUGCGUCAGAAAGAACGGCUAGAAAGGGAGCUAGCUUCUCAGCAAGAAAAAAUUACAAAUGCCAAGAAAGCAGUGCAUGAAGAAAUGAGGAAAGAAAGAGAAGGCUUGGCAUCAAAGGUGACCUGCUUGUCAGAAAACGUUGCUUGUCUUGAAGGUCAAUUGCAGAGGCUGGUGAGAGAAAGGGAUUCAGCGUGCAACCAAUUGGAAGAAGCUCAGAACAAGUUAAUAAAUCAUGAGAUGGAGAUCAAUAAGGAAUCUGGUGAAUUGCGCUAUCAGCUGAACCAAGUCAAAAUGGAGAAAGAAGAGGUUGAGAAGGAAUUCAGGGAAUACAAAACAAAAAUGUUACGCGAAUUUGAACUCCAAGAACAGGAGCUACAGAAACUUGAGUUGAAACUAAAUGAAACUAAGUGCCAUUUGGAGCAUGUCCAGCAGGAUGCAGCAAGAUCGAAGGAUGAAUGUCUAAAGCUGAUGGAACUACUGAGCAAAUCUGAGCACCAACUGCACCUCACCAGGAUGGAAAAGGACAGUUUACUCCGUAGUCACAGUGAUGAUGUCAAGGCCCUGGCCUUUCAAUCCCAACAACGUGAGCAAGAGCUAACAGAAAAGAUACAGCAAAUGGAGGCCCAGCAUGAUAAAACUGUUAAUGAACUGGAGGUACUGCUUAGUUCCCAGAAUACACUCAUAAACAAAUUGAAAGCAGAGUGUAAUACUUUAAACCAAAAGCUGCAAAAGAUUACAGAAAAAAACAGGUCAGAGGUUGGCCAACUUUGUCAGGAUAAAGAGUAUUUACAGGAAAGAUUAGAGAAACUCCAAGCAAGAAAUGAUGAAAUGGAAAACCAGUGUAUCCAGCAUGGAACAAUGCAUGAGAGAAUGAAGCAAAGACUGCAACAGUUGGAUCAGCACAGUCAGGCCAGUGCACAGCAGGUGGUGGAACUACUACAAAGGCAGAAUGAGCUGUUAAAGGAGAGACAGGCCCUGUUGGAAAAGGUGCAGUGCCUGAAAUCAUCAGGAAAUGUCACAGGCAAAGAAUCCAAACUUUGAAAUGAAACCAGAAAUACACAACAAGUCAGUCACCAUCCACACAAGAAGAGACAGCUUCCUGUUAUGUUGUAAGACCAGUGAACCAACAAAUGAUCAACUGGACGUCAGCCUGCAGCAAUAUAAAUAAUCAUUUUAAUUGAUUAGUUUUGUACAUAUUUUUGAUAUUAUAUGACUAAAUACAGAUAUACUGUAAAUAUAUUAUAAAAGGUUAAAUGUGGCCACUUCAUACAGGUAUACCACCAUCAUGGCGAGGUUUAGUUUGUACAUGACAAUCACCAUUGUAAGAUGUCUGAGUGCUUGACUUGAGUUGCAGAUAAAUAUUUCUCAUCUUGGUCAGACUCACUUAGUAGUGUUUCUUGAAGUGAUGUACAUGAUUUUAUAAAAAUAUGUUUCUUUGCUUGUGUCUCACAUCACUUUAUAAUAGUCAAUGAUCCAGUUUAAAAGGAGUAUAUUUUGCUGAGCACAUAGCAACUAUAGGCAGCAACAUUCUGUUACAAAAGUUGCACGUAACUGUGCACACACAAACCUUUUAUAACAUGUUUACCGGUUAUGUGAUCUUUAACCUGGAUUUCACAGACAACUUGAUAUCAGCCUUCUUCAGUAUUUUGAUUCUGUAUUGAAAAGAUAUUUGUAUAAAACAAUAUCUGUGUAGAUUAUUUCAAUUUAUCUUAAUUGAAACACAACUAAUGUAAACUUUGAGAUGCUAUCAAUUUAAAAUGUAUGUAAAAGGUGAUAACUAUUUUGAGGUUUACAUUAAAAUGUAUUUUCCUACAA